AGCAACGUGGCGCAGCGGAAGCGCGCCGGGCUCAUAACCCGGAGGACCUUGGAUCGAAACCAAGCGUGUAUGUCU